AAUGCCAUUAGGGUUAUGUGAGAAAAUGUUUGUACUGCUAUUUUAAGGAAAUAUUUACUAAAAUAUUCAGGAAUUAAAUUAAUUCUUUGGGGGAUUUGUAAAGAUACACCAUUAACAAAGGUGAAAAGAUAAAUGAAAUUAAUAUGGCAAAAUAUUGAUGAUUGUUGAUGCUGCUAAAAAUUACAUGAAGAUUCAUUGUACCCUAUUCUUGUGUAUAUUUAUAAAUUUUCUAACAAUAAAAAGUAAAAAGAAAUGCUUUAUUCUUUAAAUAAUGAGUAUAUUUUAUAAUCCCCACAGGUUUGUUGCUUAGUGGAGAAAUGUUUUAAAAAUCCACGGCAUGUUUUUGAAGAUAAAGGUCUUGUUGAGUCAUUUCUUUUUUUUUUUUUUUGGUCUUUUUAGGGCCACACCCAUGGCAUAUGGAGGUUCCAAGGCUAGGGGUCAAAUCAGAGCUGUAACCACUGGCCUACACCACAGCAACAGCAAUACAGGAUCUGAGCUGCAUCGGAGACCUAUACUACAGCUCACAGCAACAUCAGAUCCUUAACCCACUGAGCAAGGCCAGGGAUUGAACUUGCAUCCUCAUGGAUACUACUCAGGUUUGUUAACCACUGAACCACAAAGGGAUAUCCUGUGAUAUACCAAAUUCAUUGAUGAGCCCUAGAUUUUUUUGUAGCGUCUUUAGCGUCUUUAGCAUUUUCUAUGCAUAGUAUAUCAUAUCAUCUGCAAACAGUGACACUUUUACUACUUAUUUUUCCAAUUUGGAUUCCUUUUAUUUCUUUUUUCUUCUCUGAUUGCUUCCAGAACUAUGCUGAAUAAAAGUGUCAAGAGUAGACAUCUUUAUCUUAUUCCCAAUCUUAGAGGAUAUGCUUUUAAUUUAUUAUGCACAUUUUGUCUUAGUGUGUAGUUCUAGAUCUUGCCUGCUAAUAAACACCCCUGAGUCUGUUCUCAGCAGCUUAUUUGCACUAGUUUUUAUUAUUGACAUAUAGCAAUUUUCUUCAUAGGUAUUCAUGUCUUCUAUCACAGGUGUUUCUUGAACACCUUCCAUAUGCCAGGGAUGUGCAAGGAGCUAGAAAUCUAAUUUUGAACAAUGACAAUAAUAAAACAGAUCUAAUCAUUACCUUUAAAAAGUUUAUAACAUAGUGAAAAAGGCCAAUAUUCAAGAAAAAAAAUACAACAAUAAAUUUACAUUAUCUGAAACUAUGACUUUUUUUUUUUUUGUCAGAAAGGUUAUAUUACUUUGAAAGUAAAUAUUAGGGGACAUGGCCUUAAGUAGGUGGGUGGUUACCAAGAUUUGACAAAGAAAGUGAUAAUUCACAUCUAAAAAAAAAAGAACAGGAGUCAAGAUAAAGGCUAGAGAGUAUGUUCCACGUAGGAUGAAGAAUACAUACAAGAACCGUGUGACCAGAAGCCUGGAAUGACUACAAGGGGAAAUGAAAUAAGACAUACCUACAGUGUUGAGAAGCUGGUGAAGAGGAAGCCAAAAGCAUGGGCAGGGCCUAUGUGUAUAGAGUCCUAUAAGGUUUAUUUAUUUAUUUCCUUACUUAUAUUUUCUUUUUAGGGCUGCACCUGUGGAAUAUAGAAGUUCCUGGGCUAAGGGUUGAAUCAGAGUUGCAGCUACUGGCCUACACCACAGCCACAGCAACACAAAAUCCAAGCCACCUCUGCAACCUACACCACAGCUCAUGGCAACCCCUGAUCCUUAACCCACUAAGUGAGGCCAGGGAUCAAACCUGAAUUAUCAUGAAUACUUCAUUGGAUUCUUAACCUGCUGAGCUACAAUGUGAAUUCCAAGCCCUCUAGGUUUAAAAAGGAGACUUCUUUCAUCUCUCUCCUCCUCCCUCCCUCCUUCCCUUUCUUCCUUCCAUCCAAAAACCAUGAGAAGCUUUAACAAACCAUGGAGAAUGAAAUGAUCAUGUUUUCGGUUUGAAAAGAACCUUCUCACAGUGUGGAGAGCAGAUUUUAAUGUGGAAAGAAGGAAGAGUAGAUUCAAAGACAUUACAGAAAACAUGGAGACAGUUUAAGAAGAAAAAUCAGCAAAGUUUGGUGACAGAUUAAAUACGGAGAAUAAAUGAAAGGGACUGAAAGUUCAGUUCUUGCAGUCAACUAAUAUUCAUUGUUCCUGCUUAAUAACGCACAUUUUAACUGAAAAAUAUUGACAUGUACCAGGCACAGUUCUAAAUACUUUAUAAAUAUAUCCCUGUGAAGGAGAUGAGAUUAUGCACAUUUUUCAUAUGAGCAAUCUGAUACAGAGAGAAGCAACAUACCUCACUCGAGAUCACAGUUUGGUCAGUGGUAGACCACGGAUUUGAACCCAGGCUCUCUGCCCUAAGAGUCUAUAAUCUUAAUCCCAAAUCAUGGUAGCCCAUUUGAAUUUUAGCUAGGCUCCUAGCCAAUCAGCUCAGGACAACAUUACUCAGUCACAACUCCCUUGUAGUUUGAUGUGUUCUUGUGACUGAGCUCUGGCCAGUGGCAUAUGAGCAACAGCCAUACCUGCUACUGUUUAAUCUUGUGUUUUGUUCCUCUUUUCCCUCUGAGCGAUGGUUAGCAUUUAAAGAACUGCUUUAAACCCCAAAAUGGAAGUCAUACACUAAUGACAGCAAAGCUGGCCCAACAACUUAUUCAGACUACUAAUUUAGAAACCAUGUGAAGGAGAAACGUACUUCUAUGUUAUUUAACCCAUGCUGAAUCACAUACUGUUUGCAGCAAAUUAACCGUCCCCUACUUACUGUAAGGCCUGUCACAGAUAACUCCUCACUGUAUGGCGGCAUGAUGAGGCUAUUUACUAAGAAAGGAAACACAGAAGAGGAGUAAGUUUGAAGAGAAAACGAUCAUGUUAUAAUCAUGUUCAAUCUGAGAUAACUUUAAAGCACUCAAGUAGAGCUGUUGCGUGAGUAGGUAUAUAUAUAAUCUAGAGCUUAAAAAAGAGCUGAAGAUAAACUCUUUCAUUGAUACAAUUUUGAAGUAUAUAUAAUAUACUUCAAUAAUAGUUCAUAAUACUCAAGUACUAAAAGAUUUUUUUUCCUUCCAUUUUAUUAACUUUCAAAUUUAUCUUAGAAAACACAUUUAGCUGAGUGUCUGGAGCUCAAGGUCUCUCCCGAGGCUGUCAUCAAGCUGUAGGUCAAAGCUAUAUCUCAGAAGUCAACUGGGGCUCAAAUAUCUGCUUCUAACUCUCUCAAGGAGUUAUCCAAGAGCUUCAAUACCUUGCAGCCUGUUGAAUUGAGGGCUUCCUUUCCUCAACGUGAUGGGGGCGGGGAGGCCCUCUCCACAGGGCUGCCAGGAACAUGGCAGCCUGUUUCUACAGCAUAAGUAGUAUGGGGGAGAGAGAGAGAGAAUUACAGAUAGAAGCACAGUACUAUAAAAAACCUAAUGUUGAAAGUGUCACCCUAUCACUUCUGAAAUAGUCAAAUUCAUAAAAGCAGAGUAGAAUGGUGGUUACCAGGGGCUGAGAGGAGGGGGAAAUGAAAUGUUGAUCAGUGGCACAAAGUUUCAUUUAGGCAAGAUGAAUAAGCACUGGAGAUCUAAUGCACAAUGCAACUAUAAUUAACAAUACUAUAUUAUACACUUGAAAUUUGUUGAGGGUAGAUCUCAAGUGUCCUUACCACGGAAAAUGUGAGAUGAUGGAUAUGUUAAUUAGCUUGAUUGGGGCAAUUAUUUCACAAUGGGUAUGUAUAUCAAAAUAUUAGUUGUAUACCUUAAAUAUAUACAAUUUCCAUUUGUCGAUUAUACUUUAAUAAAGAUGAAAAAAGAGAUGAGAAUAAAAAUGUAAAUCAGUAAGCCCAGCCUACUUAAGGGGAGGGCAUUUCACAAACCCAUGAAUAUUAGGAGACAAGAAUUAUUGGGGGCCAUUUUAGAGGUUGUCUGUCACAGUAAUCAAGAUAGAGAAAAUAAACUUGUGGUUCCCAAGGGGAGAAGAAAGGGGGAGGGACAAAUUUGGGGUAAAUGAUUAACAGAUACCAGCUACUAUAUAUAAAGUAGAUAAUCAAAAAGCAUAUACUGUAGAGCACAGGGAAUUAUACUCAUUAUCUUGUAAUAACUUAUAAUGGAAUGUAAUCUGCCAAAAAUACUGAAUCACUCUGCUGUACAAGUGAAACUAACACAAUAUUGUAAAUCAGCUAUACUUCAUUUAAAAAAAAGUCCCUAGUGAUAUUAACAUAGAUUUUACAAGAAUACUUAAAUUCUCCCAGUUAUAAAUUUUUGAUAGUUACAAUUAAUAUGACAUUUAUACAUAUGAAUGUAUAAUAGAUAAAAAAUACACAUACACAUUGUGUUAAGCACUCUGUAGAAUACAGAGAUAAAUAAGUCAUGGAACUUUAACUUGAACAGUUUCUAAUAUAACAUGUGGAUUAUUUACUCCUCAAUUGGAAGCUUAUAUUUCUUUAGGAGUUCACCUAAAUACAUAGGGAUGCAUAUAUUUCCCAUUUGGCAAAAUGAGAAAUACUACAUUUUUUCUUACAUGGAAAUAAGUCAAAUAAUACCUUGUAUUUACAUUGUAAAUGUUCUAGAAAUAAUAAGUAUUAACAAUAACAUGUUUAAGAAUUGACAUUCUUAGCUUUCAUCAACAAAACAUUUUUAUUCUUAAGAAAUGGAAAUUGAAAUUUUUUUAAAAUAUGCAUCAGUGAAGAAUGUAAAAUGCUUUUCCAUUUCCUAUUUAUUAUAAUAAAAUGCAAAAGGGAGGAGCAAUGAUAAACCUCUACAAAGCUGCUUGAAAAAUUAAUUUCAGAUAUGAUCCCAUUAUUAAGUAUUAAGAUUAAUAAAAAAAGCAAUUAAAUUAGGAUAAUUAACACAAAAUACAGUGUUCAUGCUCAGUAGGGUUACUUUAUACUGGAUUAUAAUUGAAAACUGACAUUUUCUUACCCAGAAUACUAACCAAGGGCUUUUAUUUCUUCUAGAGAAGAUUACAUAUCAAUAUAAAUUCAGAGAUUAGAAAACUCUUUGUAAUUACACAAAUCACUUCUCGAAUAUCAUGUCAGUUUAAAUGUUACAUACAGAUAGAGCAAGAAAACUAAAAAGUUAAAAUAAACAAUCAUUUAACUGCUGGAGAAAAAUCCAUAUAAAGGGCAUCCUAUUUCU
rnacentral:lncRNA from 1 species